UGGCUUUGUGUAAAACCAAAAGUGAAAGUAUUGAUUACCAUCUUGCAGUUACGAAAUAAAGAAUCUAACACUGGUGAGACAUUUGAAUAGUGGAGAUUCCACUUCCGUAAACAUGUCUGCUGAAUCAGAUAAACUGAAAUUUUACAUUAACCAAUCUGGGAAUACUUUGGGAGCCCAACUUGAGUUUAUAGAGCGGCUGAAACAACGGCGUCAUCUCCGUCAAGUUUAUUCAGAGGAAGAAUGCGACGUCAUUUUUGCUUUUGUCCCUAUUGCAUCUCGGGCUGGAACGGACAUUGAAACUGCACUUCAGAAGAUUACACAGACGAGUAAGCCUAUUCUCCUCGUGGUAUUUCACCACACUUUCGAUCAAAAAUACAUUGCUCCAGACAGCAGAUGGUCUGUGAAGAGGGAAGAAGUGUUUGCUGUGGACGUCCUUUUUCAUGAAGAUGAAGGACUGCUAAGAUGCCUACGCAAUGACAUGGUACUGAAAUCUGCCACGGAUUUUCUAACGUCUGUGCGUGCGCCAUCAAAUAUCUCGCCUGAACAAACAAACAUUUCCAGAAAAUGUUGUGAUUUUAAAAUUGCACUGAUUGUAGCCUUGACCGUAUUUGUGGUGGUUUGUAUUAUUGUUGUUGUAGUGUUUGUUUUUUAUUAUAAGAAAGUUUAACUAUGUAGGAACUUAAUCUGACAGUAAACCACAUAGAAUAAUGAACCAACAAAGGUAGUAUCUUUUUUUCUUCUUUUUUAAUAAUCAAGGUGACAUUUACAAUCAUACAACUCCUAAAAAGACUAAAAGUUUAAGACUAAAAGGAAAGACUAAACUGUUUAUUGGCACAUUAGCAUAAAUAUUCCGCUGGCAACUAUUGGCUAAUAGCUUUACUUACCAGCCAGUGUUUGAAGAGUAAAGUUAAAUAAAUUUAGAUAAAUAUAAACACACACACACACACACACACACACACUAGAAAACCUAUUACCUAUAAUACACAUAAUUUAUUGAUCGUAUCCUAGACACUGUGGUGCAAUAUUUUUAUAAUGUCAUUUGGGACUGUUAUUAUAGCAGACCAUGCAGUGGUUGAGAUGGUUUCACUUUCAUUCAAGUCAUGAAAAUCUUAUCACCUAAAAUUCUAAGAUUUGUAAUAUUUCUUCUCACUGCGGUUCAACUUCAGAGGACAGCAUUAUGGAGUAAUAAUACUAUCCUAUUAGGCCGUAAGGUGAAGACGUUUUUCGUUUCAUCCAGUUCCCAUAUAUGAGGCACUAAAUUCUUUGAGUUUUGAGCGAGAAAAUAAAAGUUCUCCAUGUUAUCCUGCAGUUUAUUUUUAUUAGUGUUUAAAGUCGGCAAUAGUUCCUUCAUCGCGUAAUAAUAUUUUGAUCAUGAGUGAUUCGGCUUUGCGUCACGUGUAGGAAGCACAACCAAUAAGGUGGCCGCUUUUUGGAACGAUGAAUCCAAGAUGUCUGCGCCCUUGUUGUCAACAUCGAGUAGCGAAGAAGAGGAAAUUACGGUCAGACCUCAUUCUAAACUCCGUAAAAAGGAUUAUAAACAAUGCUAUAUGCAUCUCGCGUCCAUAAAGAAAGAAGAAACGAAGGAUUUUACACACACACGAUGGGAUACACACACAGUGGCUUGGUUUGCAUGGUGAAAAUCAGAGAAUAACAGAAACAUACAAACAUUGUUUAGAAAUUGAAUUUGAAAAUGUUUCCGAAGACGCGGGGUUUCAUUCCACUUGCUACAGGCGUUUCAUUAUCAAGAAGCGCCUGGAUGCGGCAGAGAAACGUGUUAUACAGCAUCCUGAAAUUCAAGAUGCUCACAAAGACCAGUCUGUGUCAUCGAGUAGUAGUACCUCAACAACUGAAUGUCCUAAAAAGAAACUUGGGUCCAUGACGGACCUGCCAGUAGCUUGUGCAGGCCCUGUGCUUCCUGCCUUGUGCAUAAUUUGUAAGAAAACAGAGUACAUUACAGAGUACAAAGUACAUUACUGUGGCAGGCAAUCGACAGAAGGACCAUCUUUCACAGGCAGAAACGUUGUGUACAGGCCAGUUGCUGAAAGCUGCUGAGAUGAAGGAAGACACUAGCAUUCUUGUGCAUAUUCAAGACAAAGACUGUGGCGGGCAAAAUACAUUACUCUUGAGUUAAGAAAUAAAGAAGCAAACACUGGUGAGACAUUUAAAUAUUGGAGAUUCCACUUCCCUAAAGAUGUAUGCAGGUAAGUCAGUCUGUUCUUUUCUCAUUUCCACUGUCUCGUGUACACUUUUUAAACUAUGAUGCAGGAUGUUUUUCAACACCAGACUAAGCCACUGUUGUACUACGUAGACAUUUCUGAGUGUGUGUGUGUGGUAAAUAUGCGCUGUCUUUUAUGUGACCGGUACAUCUUUAAUUCAUGAUAUUUGUGAUAUGAGUGGCAAAGUAAAAUGUAAGUUUACUUUAACACAUUUUAAAAUAAUACUACAAUUAUUAUGUAAAAAUCUAGACGAAAAUAAACCACAUCCUGUUGUUUUGUCGAAUCAAGUGCUUCACACAUUCACACUCACCCACCAUUUUGUUAGGAACAUUUAUACAUUGAAAAAAGGCGAGUAGCGCAACAAUGACAGGUUUAUAUAAAAUUCUUUUAAUAGAAAUACAUUAACAAACCUAAUUUAUUUAUUGUAGUAACACAGACAAGAACUACAUAAUUACUUUUUAGUGUGUAUUUUUAAACAGUUAUUGAUUCAACCAGUCAUGUAGCAGCACAAUGCAUAAAAUAAUGCAAAUAAAGUUCAAGGUCAAGUUUCAGUUUACCAUCAAACAUGAGAAUGGGGGAUAAUGUGAUCUUUAUAAUUUUAACUACAGCAUCCUUGUUGCUAGUUUUAGAAUUUCACUAACCACUGUUUUUCAGAAUGUGUGGGGAAAAAAGAAAAAAAAAAAAGCAGGCUACUUUAUAUCAGGUCUGUCAAGUAGCAUGUACUUUUGGUAUGUAGUGUGUAUAAUGUCUCCUAAUCAUAUGUCUUUCAUAGAGUAAAAUAAAUUUGUGCAGAAUUAACUUCCUCUUGGUGUUGAGUCUUUAGGAUUUUUAUGUCUAAAACCAAGCAUUUCAUUAAGAUAUAAAUGAGUCUUCAACUCAAAAAAGCUUAUAAUACAGAGUUUACAGGAUUAUUAAAUGCAUAAGUACCACUAACUUAAACACUGAUAUUAAACCUUGUCAUUUUGUUUUCAGAAUCAGAUAAAUUUUACAUUAAACAAUUUGGGAAUACUCUGGGAGUCCAACUCGACUUUAUAGAGCGACUGAAACAACGGCGUCAUCUCUGUCAAGUUUAUUCAGAGGAAGAAUGCGACGUCAUUUUUGCUUUUGUCCCUAUUGCAUCUCGGGCUGGAACGGACAUUGAAACUGCACUUCAGAAGAUUACAGAGACGAGUAAGCCUAUUCUCCUCGUGGUAUUUCACCACACUUUCGAUCAAAAUUACAUUGCUCCAGUCAGCAAAUGGUUUGUGAAGAGGGAAGGGGUGUUUGCUGUGGACAUCCUUUUUCAUGAAGAUCAAGGAUUGCUAAGAUGCCUACACAAUGACAUGGCACUGAAAUCUACCACUGAGUUUCUAAAGUCUGUGUGUGCUCCACAAGAUAUCUUGCAGCCUGAACCAACAAGAAUUUCCAGAAAAUGUUGUGAUUGUAAAAUUGCACCGAUUGUAGCCUUAUUUUUGGUGGUUUGUAUUAUUAUUGUUGUUGUAGUGGUUGUUGUUUAUUAUAAGAAAGUUUAAGCUUAAUCUGACUGUAAACCACAUAAAAUAAUGAACCAACAAAGGUAGUAUCUUUUUUUUACUUUCUUUUUAAUAGUCAAGGUCACAAUUACAACUCCUGAAAAAUAGAAGGAGAGACUAAACUGUUUAUUGGCAAAUAAGCAUAAUUGGCUAAUAGCUUUUCUUUAAAUUAGCAUAAUUGGCUAAUAGCUUUACUCACCAACCAGUGUUUGAAGAGUUAACUUAAAUAAAAUAAUAUGAAUAUAAACACACACACAUAAAAUUAUGCAUUCAAUAUUAAAAUAGACCAUACAAUUAUGCAUACAAUGAAACACAUACCAGGUUCCCAACAAGAUUUGUUCUACUGUUGUGUUUCAGCUAGCUAAUCAGUUAGCUAUUUAGCAUUAUUAAGUUUACCAAACAUAAUGUAACAUGUUGAUUUGAAUAUCCAGAAUUUCUCUCAAAAGUACAACAUUUAUAAACAAUAAGAAUGCCCCCAUCACAAUUAGUGACAUCUAUACGUAAAUAUCUGAAGGAAACCUGAGAGAAUGUGAAUGUGAUCUUUUUUAACUGGAUUAAAAACGUAAAUUUUUUAAUCCAUUUGUAAAAUAACAAUUUCAGUCACUAUUUUAUAAUAAAUUACAUAAUGAUCCAUUCCACCACCAUCAUUUGUAAGAUAUUGCUUUUACCAUGUUGUAUAAUGUUUACCAUAAACACAGCUCUAUGUUAAUUCCAGGUAAUAUUUGAUUUGAAAAAUCUUUGUACAAGGCUUUAGAUAUUUUCUAAGUACUGCAAAUGUUAAAUUUGUCAACAAUAGCAACAAAGUGUUUAUCUUCAGAUUUCAUUAUUUUUUUACUUUUAAUAUUUUUACUUUAAUAUACAUUUAAGACGUGACGUGUCUGAUAAGUAACAUUUUAAUUCAGUGAUAACCCUAUGUAUCACAAAACUGUAUAUAAAUCUUUCUUUUUUUUUUCUAAAUGAUAGUACAGUAUGUUAAAUGUCUAUGCCACACAAUAAGUUUGUCGAUUUGUUUGUGGAAAUAAAAUUGAAGUGCCUUAAAGUGAAAGUCAAGGAAAAAUACAUGUCGAUGAUAAGAAAUGUGGGGUGGGUACAUUCCUAUCUAAAAGAUAAAAUUGCAAAAUAGCGCUUUAAAACAUUUUUAUUAUAUUUUAUUAUUAUAUUAUAUUUAUAUGUAAUCUGCUGUUAUUAUUAUGUAUUAUUACCAUUAGUCAUUUCUAUGAUUAAGAUAUCUCUAAUUACAUUAUCACAGCUUGAGAUCUGAUUGGUGUUUAUGUGCUUUGACACCCCCAUCAAGUCACGUGUUAUGAUGAUGUGUAAAAAGAAAAUAAACUAAACCUGGUUCAGAGACACUGAGAAGCUGCUACAUGUUUUGUUUUCUGUGAUCUAUCUUGCUUUAAAAUGCCUCAAGAAUCACAAACACUGAUGUUCUUCCCAAUGGUACUUGGAAACACCAUGAAUAUCCAUCAGGAGGUUUUACAGCGGCUGACACAACGUCUUCAGCUUAAACAAGCAUAUGCAAUGGACAACUGUGAUGUUAUCUUCGCUUUUGUCCCAAUUGUGUCUCGGGCAGGGACAGACAUUGAAGCUGGUCUUCAGAAAAUCCCUAUAACGGAUAAGCCUGUUGUUCUAAUGGGGCUCCACAUCACAUUUGAUGAGAAUUACAUUGCUCCUCAGAGCAAAUUGACCAUAAACAGGAGUAAUGUGUGUGCUGUGGACUUGCUCUGUUAUGAAGACCUUGGACUGCUCAGGUCCCUUCGCAAUGAUGAGGCACUGAAAGUCAUUACUGAUUAUCUGAUGUCUAUUGGAGGUUCACCCAAUAUCCAGCAAGAAACAACCAGAUCACAGAAUCAAUGCAGUUCUUUGUCAAUCAUCAUCAUCAUCACUUUAAUUUUUGUUAUUGCAAUAGUGAUAGUCAUUUGCUUUAGCAUUUAUGUACAGAAAUGGCCAGAGCACACUGUACCUACACUGCAACCUAAUACUACUACAAAUGUUACACAUGUAAACAAUGUAAAUUAGCUACACUUUGAUUACUGUAAAAACUUUUCCUGUCCAAAUGAUUUUUGUAAAUAAGGGACUAUUUUGACAAGUAGUGUACAAUCAAUUCUAAUGUAAUAUCAAGACUUGUCUGCACAAACCAUUUGCAUUGUUAGCUUUAUAGUAAUCAUUAAAUGUAAUGUAUGAAAUAAUAAUGUAAAAAUGAAAAGGCAAAGCAAAAUCAUAUGAAUGUUAAACUGCCAGAUAUAUAAAUUAUUUUUGGCUUUAUACUACAAUAUGUUUUUUUUUAUUUUAAGGUUAAAAUAAAA